rnacentral:tRNA from 1 species
GGGUUCAUAGCUCAGUGGUAGAGCAUUUGAUUGCAGAUCAAGAGGUCACUGAUUCAAACCCGGUUGGGCCCU